CCCAUUCGACCGGUUUCCGAGUGCAAAACCAAAAACAAAUGGCAACCGACACAGACAGGUAACAGAUACGACUUGGAAACAUGUCCAUACAAAUGGUACAGCCGGGGGGGACUACAAAAUAAAAUAAAGGGUAUUCAUAAUUGUUGAGUCGAGCCAUAAAAAAUCUACGCAGUAAAAGUAGCGUCCCGUUUGCCAUUUCGUUUGUUUCGCACGAAAGUCCCGUAUUUGCAGAGAGCGUCGCUCCCGUGUGCAAGCAGUGCAUUUCUAUACAGGAAGCCUCUCUCACGGUAUGCGUCACCUUUGUACUCAUACGUAUAAGUUUACCAUGGAUCGAAAUAUUAGCUCAGAGAGCGCACUGGAAUAAUUGAAUUGGGUGAGAGAAGGGGAGAGUACGUGUGUGUGCACGCAGUGAAGAGUGGACGAUCGGCAUUAAGA